rnacentral:rRNA from 1 species
UGCCUAUACAUGCAAGUCGAGCGGACAGAUGGGAGCUUGCUCCCUGAUGUUAGCGGCGGACGGGUGAGUAACACGUGGGUAACCUGCCUGUAAGACUGGGAUAACUCCGGGAAACCGGGGCUAAUACCGGAUGCUUGUUUGAACCGCAUGGUUCAAACAUAAAAGGUGGCUUCGGCUACCACUUACAGAUGGACCCGCGGCGCAUUAGCUAGUUGGUGAGGUAACGGCUCACCAAGGCAACGAUGCGUAGCCGACCUGAGAGGGUGAUCGGCCACACUGGGACUGAGACACGGCCCAGACUCCUACGGGAGGCAGCAGUAGGGAAUCUUCCGCAAUGGACGAAAGUCUGACGGAGCAACGCCGCGUGAGUGAUGAAGGUUUUCGGAUCGUAAAGCUCUGUUGUUAGGGAAGAACAAGUACCGUUCGAAUAGGGCGGUACCUUGACGGUACCUAACCAGAAAGCCACGGCUAACUACGUGCCAGCAGCCGCGGUAAUACGUAGGUGGCAAGCGUUGUCCGGAAUUAUUGGGCGUAAAGGGCUCGCAGGCGGUUCCUUAAGUCUGAUGUGAAAGCCCCCGGCUCAACCGGGGAGGGUCAUUGGAAACUGGGGAACUUGAGUGCAGAAGAGGAGAGUGGAAUUCCACGUGUAGCGGUGAAAUGCGUAGAGAUGUGGAGGAACACCAGUGGCGAAGGCGACUCUCUGGUCUGUAACUGACGCUGAGGAGCGAAAGCGUGGGGAGCGAACAGGAUUAGAUACCCUGGUAGUCCACGCCGUAAACGAUGAGUGCUAAGUGUUAGGG